rnacentral:rRNA from 2 species
GAGGUUAAGCGACUAAGCGUACACGGUGGAUGCCCUGGCAGUCAGAGGCGAUGAAGGACGUGCUAAUCUGCGAUAAGCGCCGGUAAGGUGAUAUGAACCGUUAUAACCGGCGAUUUCCGAAUGGGGAAACCCAGUGUGACUCGUCACACUAUCAUUAACUGAAUCCAUAGGUUAAUGAGGCGAACCGGGGGAACUGAAACAUCUAAGUACCCCGAGGAAAAGAAAUCAACCGAGAUUCCCCCAGUAGCGGCGAGCGAACGGGGAGGAGCCCAGAGCCUGAAUCAGCAUGUGUGUUAGUGGAAGCGUCUGGAAAGGCGCGCGAUACAGGGUGACAGCCCCGUACACAAAAGCGCAUAUGCUGUGAGCUCGAUGAGUAGGGCGGGACACGUGGUAUCCUGUCUGAAUAUGGGGGGACCAUCCUCCAAGGCUAAAUACUCCUGACUGACCGAUAGUGAACCAGUACCGUGAGGGAAAGGCGAAAAGAACCCCGGCGAGGGGAGUGAAAAAGAACCUGAAACCGUGUACGUACAAGCAGUGGGAGCACCCUUUGGGGUGUGACUGCGUACCUUUUGUAUAAUGGGUCAGCGACUUAUAUUCUGUAGCAAGGUUAACCGAAUAGGGGAGCCGGAGGGAAACC